rnacentral:rRNA from 1 species
UCGGGAAUUUUGGGCAAUGGGCGAAAGCCUGACCCAGCAACGCCGCGUGAAGGAUGAAGUAUUUCGGUAUGUAAACUUCGAAAGAAUAGGAAGAAUAAAUGACGGUACUAUUUAUAAGGUCCGGCUAACUCUGUGCCAGCAGCCGCGGUAAUACAGAGGUGGCAAGCGUUGUUCGGAAUUACUGGGCGUAAAGGGCGCGUAGGCGGCCCUCUAAGUCAGACGUGAAAUCCCCCGGNUUAACCUGGGAACUGCGUCUGAUACUGGAGGGCUUGAGUAUGGGAGAGGGAUGUAGAAUUCCAGGUGUAGCGGUGAAAUGCGUAGAUAUCUGGAGGAACAUCAGUGGCGAAGGCGGCCCUCUGGUCCAGUACUGACACUCAAGUGCGAAAGCGUGGGGAGCAAACAGGAUUAGAUACCCUAGUAGUCCCUGAGCGGGCUGGCAAGGCGCAU